UACGUAGGCCCCGAGCGUUAUCCGGAUUUAUUGGGCGUAAAGGGUGCGUAGGUGGUUUAUUGCAUCCUUGGUUAAAGCUUCAAGCUCAACUUGGAGAAUGCCAAGGAGAUGAAUAAUCUAGAAAGUAUCAGAGGUGGCUGGAACUGCCAGUGUAGGGGUGAUAUCCGUUGAUAUUGGCAGGAACGCCAGAGGUGAAAACGAGCCACUGGGAUAUCUUGGACACUGAGGCACGAAAGUGUGGGGAGCAAAAAGGAUUAGAUACCCUUGUAGUCCACACCCUAAACGAUGCCGACUAGCUGUUUCGAGUAUCGACCCUCGGAGUGGCGAAGCUAACGCGUUAAGUCGGCCGCCUGGGAAGUACGGCCGCAAGGCUAAA
rnacentral:rRNA from 1 species